rnacentral:rRNA from 1 species
GACAGAGGGGGCAAGCGUUGCUCGGAAUUACUGGGCGUAAAGGGCGCGUAGGCGGGAUGGCAAGUCGGUCGUGAAAUCCCUCGGCUCAACCGAGGAACGUCGAUCGAUACUGCUGUUCUUGAGGAUUGCAGAGGAGACUGGAAUUCCCGGUGUAGCGGUGAAAUGUGUAGAGAUCGGGAGGAACACCAGUGGCGAAGGCGGGUCUCUGGACAGAGUCUGACGCUGAGGCGCGAAAGCUAGGGGAGCAAACAGG